GUUGUAUAGUCAAGUAAUUAAGUGCAUGUGGUGGAUGCCUUGGCAGUCAGAGGCGAUGAAAGACGUGAUAGCCUGCGAAAAGCUCCGGGGAGGCGGCAAAUAUCCUUUGAUCCGGAGAUGUCUGAAUGGGGGAACCCACCUACUUUAAGGUAGGUAUUGCAACAUGAAUACAUAGUGUUGCAAGGCGAACGAGGGGAAGUGAAACAUCUCAGUACCCUUAGGAAAAGAAAUCAAUUGAGAUUCCCUCAGUAGCGGCGAGCGAACGGGGAUCAGCCCAUUAAGUUAUGUGUGUUUUAGUGGAACGCUCUGGGAAGUGCGAACGUAGAGGGUGAUAUUCCCGUACACGAAAGGGCACACAUAAUGAUGACGAGUAGGGCGAGGCACGUGAAACCUUGUCUGAAUAUGGGGGGACCAUCCUCCAAGGCUAAAUACUCCUGACUGACCGAUAGUGAACCAGUACCGUGAGGGAAAGGCGAAAAGAACCCCUGUGAGGGGAGUGAAAUAGAUCCUGAAACCGCAUGCAUACAAGCAGUGGGAGCACCUUCGUGGUGUGACUGCGUACCUUUUGUAUAAUGGGUCAGCGACUUAUAUUCAGUAGCGAGGUUAACCGUAUAGGGGAGCCGUAGAGAAAUCGAGUCUUAAUAGGGCGUUUAGUUGCUGGGUAUAGACCCGAAACCAGGCGAUCUAUCCAUGAGCAGGUUGAAGGUUGGGUAACACUAACUGGAGGACCGAACCCACUGUCGUUGAAAAGCCAGGGGAUGACUUGUGGAUAGGGGUGAAAGGCUAAUCAAGCCUGGUGAUAGCUGGUUCUCCCCGAAAGCUAUUUAGGUAGCGCCUCGGACGAAUACCAUAGGGGGUAGAGCACUGUUUCGGCUAGGGGGUCAUCCCGACUUACCAAACCGAUGCAAACUCCGAAUACCUAUGAGUACUAUCCGGGAGACAGACUGCGGGUGCUAACGUCCGUAGUCAAGAGGAAAACAAUCCAGACCGCCAGCUAAGGCCCCAAAAUCAUAGUUAAGUGGGAAACGAUGUGGGAAGGCAUAGACAGCUAGGAGGUUGGCUUAGAAGCAGCCACCCUUUAAAGAAAGCGUAAUAGCUCACUAGUCGAGUCGGCCUGCGCGGAAGAUGUAACGGGGCUAAAA
rnacentral:rRNA from 1 species